UUAGUGUGCGUAGCACACUAUUGGUUUCGUUCCGAAAGUUGAAAAAUUCUUUGGCUCGAAUGUUCUCUUAGAGGAAUGGGCCGAUUUUUUUGAAUCUUUCGUAGGUAGGUGAGGCAUAACUUGAGGGAGGGAAUGUCGUAAUUAUAAUUGCAAUUACUCAAUUAGCUUCUUGAGUAAUUGCAAUUAAUUACGAAAAUUUGUACCAAAAAAAGAAUAAACUAGACAGCUGCGCCAAGCGCAGCUGUAACAGUGUGCGUAGCUUCUUUAGUUUGGACAGCGCAACGCAAUUUUGGCAAAGAAGCAUAACAAAAUUUCAAAAAAAGGCGCAACUUCGAAAAAAGCACAAUGCGACUUCAAAAUAAUAAGCACAAUGCGAUUUAGAAAAAAAUCACAACGCAAAUUUCAAAAAUAGAACAAGAUUCCGAAAAAAAUCAAAAUACGAUUUUGAAAAAAAAGCAUAACGCAACUUCUUAAAAAAAACGAUUGGAAUUUUGAAAGCAGAACGCAAUCAUGAUUUUAAAAAAAAUCACAAUACGAUUAUGAAAAAAAAGCACAUCACGAUUUUCAAAAAAAGCACAAAGCAACUUUGGAAAAAAGCAAUUGGGAUUUUGAAAGCAGAACGCAAUGAUGAUUUAAAAAAAAGCACAACGCGAUUUUGAAAAAAGGCACAACGCGAAUUUUAGUUUAAAAAAAGCACAACGCGAUUUCGAAAAAAAAGCACAACACAAUUUUGAAAAAAAAGCACAACGCAAUUUUGAAAAAAAGCACAGUGCGAACUUUGAAAAAAGAUCAACGCGAAUUCUCAAAAAAGCACAAGGCCAACUUUGAAAAAAAGCACAAUGCGACUUCGGAAAAAAAAGCACAACGCAAAUGUUGUAAAAAAAACAGAACGCGAACUUCAAAAAAAAAGCACAACGCGAUUUUGAACGCGAUUUUGAAAAAAAAAGCACCACGCAAUUUCGGAAAAAAGCACAACGUGAUUUUGAAAAAAAAGCGAACUUUGAAAAAAAGCACAACGCGAUUUCAAAAAAAAGCACAAUGCAAUUUUGAAAAAAAAACAUGAUUUUGAAAAAAAAGCACAACACGAUUUUGGAAAAAAAGCACAACGUGAACUUCAAAAAAAAAAGCACAAUGAGGACUUCGAAAAAAAAGCACAACACGAUUUUGAAAAAAAAGCACAACGUGAUUUUUAAAAAAAAGCGCAACGCGAACUUUGAAAAAAAAGCACAACGCGAACUUCAAAAAUCAAGGCACAACAAAAUUUUGAAAAAAAGCACCACAUCAUUUUGGAAAAAAAGCAUAACGCGAUUUUGAAAAAAAAGCAUAACGCGAUUUUGAAAAAAAAAAGCACAACGAGAUUUAAAAAAAAAAGCACAACGCGAAUUUUAGAAAAAAAGCACAACGCGAUUUUUUUAAAAAAAAAAACAACGCAAAUUUUGGAAAAAAAGCGCAACGUGAUUUUGAAAAAAAAGCACAACGUGAACUUCAAAAAGAAUCACAACGCAAUUUCGAAAAAAAAGCACCACACAAUUUCGAAAAAAAAGCACAACGCGAUUUUGAAAAAAAAGCACAACGCGAACUUCAAAAUAAAAAAAUAACGCGAAUUUUAGAAAAAAAGCACAACGCGUUUUCGAAAAAAAGCACCACGCAAUUUCAGAAAAAGAAGCACAACGCGAACUUUGAAAAAAAAACACAAUGCAAAUUUUAGGAAUUGAAAAGCACUAGAUUUCGAAAAAAAAGCAGGACACAAUUUUUAAAAAAAAGCACAACACGAUUUUGAAAAAAAAAAGCACAACGCGAUUCCGAAUACACUAUGCUAUGCUAUUCUGAAAGCUCCGGAGCACAACGUGAUAUAUCAGGAAAGCAUAAGCACUGCACUACUGAGAGAUUGAGAGAACCUCUUGGGAGCACAGCAAAAUCACAAAUGA